UACGGAGGGUGCGAGCGUUGUCCGGAAUCAUUGGGCGUAAAGGGCGCGUAGGUGGCCCGGUCAGCGUGCGGUGAAAGCUCGGGGCUCAACCCCGAGUCGGCCGUGCGAACUGCUGGGCUCGAGCACUGUAGAGGCAGGCGGAAUUCCGGGUGUAGCGGUGGAAUGCGUAGAGAUCCGGAAGAACACCGGUGGCGAAGGCGGCCUGCUGGGCAGUUUAGCUGACACUGAGGCGCGACAGCGUGGGGAGCAAACAGG
rnacentral:rRNA from 1 species